GAUGAAGAACGCAGCGAAAUGCGAUAAGUAAUGUGAAUUGCAGAAUUCAGUGAAUCAUCGAAUCUUUGAACGCACAUUGCGCCCGCCAGUAUUCUGGCGGGCAUGCCUGUUCGAGCGUCAUUACAACCCUCAGGCCCCCGGGCCUGGCGUUGGGGAUCGGCAGAAGCCCCCUGUGGGCACACGCCGUCCCUCAAAUACAGUGGCGGUCCCGCCGCAGCUUCCAUUGCGUAGUAGCUAACACCUCGCAACUGGAGAGCGGCGCGGCCAUGCCGUAAAACACCCAACUUCGGAAUGUUGACCUCGAAUCAGGUAGGAAUACCCGCUGAACUUAAGCAUAUCAAUAAGCGGAGGA
rnacentral:misc_RNA from 1 species